rnacentral:tRNA from 1 species
GGAAGCGCAAGUCAUCCGGUGAUGGCCUCGGUCUUCAAAACCGGCGGAUGGCAUCUUCGAUGUCAUCGGUGUGUUCGACUCACACACGCUUCCGCCA